UGGACCCAAAAAGUUUGGGUGAUUACAGUCCAGUAAUUAUUCAAGCUUUGAGUCCAAGACAAAUUCCCUGCAAAGGACAAUAAAGUCUGUCUGAUUACGGG